CUGUGUCGCGCGUAUGUGCGCUGCGUGCCUUACUUACUCUAUUAGCUGCCCGCCUCGGGACUACGAGCGCAAGCUUAAAACUCAAAGGAAUUGACGGGGGCCCGCACAAGCAGCGGAGCGUGUGGUUUAAUUCGACGCAAACACGAAGAACCUUACCCUGGGCUUAACAUAAACGCUGCACGCCGUCGAAAGACGGCCGCCUGCGAGGGUGCGUGACAGGUGCUGCAUGGCUGUCGUCAGCUCGUGUCGUGAAGAUGUUGGGUUCAGUCCCGCAACGAGCGCAACCCGCGUCGGUAGUUACCCGUGUCUACCGAGACUGACGCCGUGACCGACGGAGGAAGGCGCGGAUGACGUCAAGUCAGCAUGGGCCUUACGUCCAGGGCGACACACACGCUACAAUGGCCACGACAAUACGUUGCCAAGCCCGCAAGGCGGAGCUAAUCGCUUAAACGUGGUCUCAGUGCAGAUCGGGGGCUGCAACUCGCAAACGUGAAGACGGAGUUGCUAGUAACCGCGUAAGGGCGAAUUCU
rnacentral:rRNA from 1 species